UAUCAUUUUAUACCUGGGGAUUUGCACGGUCCCAGACAGGACGACGCGCUUCGACACACACCGAGAAGGAUAUUGGAUUUACGCGGAUGUCUUCUGGAAACUGAUGAACCUCUUGGUUGUUGUUGUAUAGUAUCCUGUUGCUGCUACUUCUGUUGCCAGUGCUGUUAGUGUUACUACUAGUUCUACUAGUCGCGCCGCUACUAGAAGCCAUAGAACAAUGCACUCAAGGAAAAUUUACGAAGCCAGACAUCUCGGGGCCAUGUACGCGCAAUUUCAUCGAUACAAGGAAGACGCGGUUUUGUUCGACGCAAGUGACAAUAAACGUCGUUCAAUCAGCUUAAGAGGAAACGUUGGCGCGACGCCAACGGAAAGUCCGACGCGAAAAGAUGGAGCGUCUUGAGAAGUUACUGCUCGAAGCAAUUCCGGGUAUCCUUCGGGCAAAUGUCCAUUUUAGCACCCCAAGUGAUCACUAAGGAUUCUCAUUGGCAGGAUCACCCUUGAAAAAAAGUUUUCGGGUCGAAGCGAGCGAGAGUUAAAGCCUUCGGAGCCCUCGGAGAGUCCGUUAGGACUUUUCCAGAAGUCGGGAAACAUCGUUUCGCAGGCCGAAGAUAAAGGAACGGAGAGAGAAGACUGACGGCUACGAGAGGAUAUAAAAGAAGGGUGGCAAAGGUGUGCGGCAAGAGAGAAAUGGGUUAUACGGACGGCGUGAAG